rnacentral:lncRNA from 1 species
GUAACUAUGUGAGCCGGGGACCAUCAGAAUCAGCUAAUGCAUAACACAGCCCGGGAGGGUUAAGCUUUGUUGGGUGAUGGGGACUGAGUGUAUGCAGGUGUUUAAUUGUGAAAUGCUACAGAGAGACUAGCACAGUCAUGGACGUAAAGCAGAUUCUGGGAGAAGCCAGAUGGUCAUCAUGGCAGAGGUCUAAGGUACUGGGCAUUAAGUGUUUAUGCAUAGAAAGAACCAGAUUUGGAGAAGAAAAUGGAAAUCAUGUUAGAGCAGGCUAGCUUAUGAAGCUGAGAUCAAUCUGUUGAACACUGAACUGUCAUACGAGGAAGAUGAUAUCUUGUCCCUAAGUCCAUCUAUACAGGCUUAUUAUUACUUUUAUUAUUGCGGUGAGAAACACACAGUGUAAAAUUUACCGUCUCAUCCAUCUUCACAUGUGCAGGACAGUAGUGUUAAU